AAAUGGGUCGUAUAAGGGUUACCAUGAAAUUAAGAUAUGGGUCAUAAAUGGGUUUGAAAAAGAAAAGCCCAAACAAAAUGGGUUUUAUUCGGGUCUUUUACAAACCCAUUUUCAACCCAUCAUCGACCCAACUCUCUCCUUCCUCUCCUCUACUUCGUCUCCAUCUUCCUCGCCCCCCCUCUCUCUUCCGACGGACCUCCCCGAUCUCCGCCCGCUCUUACCAAGACCCUCGAAAUGAAGCGGAAGUCCCGGCUCGACUUCGCCGCCUCCGGUCAGCCCCGCGAUUACUCCAUCGGGUCCUGGAUCUACGAUUGGAGCUUUGAAUCGGCAAGGUAUGACGGCUCUUGUAAGGAGAUAUUCAAGGGAUGGAAUCACCAAAUCUUCGGCUCGCCUUCGUCCCCGCCGAGUCCUCCGAUCGAGCACGAGCGCAAUGAAAUCUUUGCAGACCCCUCCAAGAUCUUUGACGAAAUCGCAAAAAUUGAGCCGCUCAUGGGACAUAGACGAAUCGGAGCUCCACCCCGAGUACCGCACUAUCUCGUGCGAGCUCCGCGCGCUGACGAAGAUGGUCCGUGACGAACUCAACAACGCCUUUCGUGGCCGUCAACUACGAGAAGUCCGCCGUUGUCGGGGCUACCUCAUUGGGGCUGCCGUUGUCGGCGCCAUCGGCCGCCGUCGGGGUCCAAAACCUAGCGCUAGGGUUUUCAUUUUAUUUUGCAAAAUUUAUUUAAUUUUGAAGAAUUGUUGGGCC